CAAUGUUAGGAAAUUUGGAGAUGUCAUUGGGGGCCUGGGAAGAGUUAUCUUUUCUUUUUAACGACUUUCCCACCUUGAAAUCGGUUCAACCAGAGAUAGGGUCCAACAUAUUAAAGAGAACCAAAUGUCUUGCGGUGUUUGGUGCCCCCUCAAUGGCCAUUGUAAAUAUGGUGAACCGAGUACCAUCCAUGCUCGAUCAUACUCAUAUCUGCCUCCUUGGAUUUUUCAGUGUCCACUAGGUUAGCAAUCU
rnacentral:ncRNA from 1 species